GACGAACGCUGGCGGCGUGCUUAACACAUGCAAGUCGAACGGAAAGGCCCUGCUUUUGUGGGGUGCUCGAGUGGCGAACGGGUGAGUAACACGUGAGUAACCUGCCCUUGACUUUGGGAUAACUUCAGGAAACUGGGGCUAAUACCGGAUAGGAGCUCCUGCUGCAUGGUGGGGGUUGGAAAUUUUCGGCGGUUGGGGAUGGACUCGCGGCUUAUCAGCUUGUUGGUGGGGUAGUGGCUUACCAAGGCUUUGACGGGUAGCCGGCCUGAGAGGGUGACCGGCCACAUUGGGACUGAGAUACGGCGCAGAAUCCUACGGGAGGCAGCAGUGGGGAAUAUUGCACAAUGGGCGGAAGCCUGAUGCAGCAACGCCGCGUGCGGGAUGACGGCUUUCGGGUUGUAAACCGCUUUCGCCUGAGACGAAGCGUGAGUGACGGUAAUGGGUAAAGAAGCACCGGCUAACUACGUG
rnacentral:rRNA from 1 species